AGAAUCAACGCUGGCGGCGUGCCUCAGACGUGCAAGUCGAACGCGAAAGUCCCCUUCGGGGGACAAGUAGAGUGGCGCACGGGUGAGUAACACGUAGGUAAUCUACCUUCGGAUGGGGAAUAACAACCGGAAACGGUUGCUAAUACCGCAUAAUGCAGCGGCACCUAAUGGUGACAGUUGUUAAAGCGGGGGAUCGAAAGACCUCGCGUCUGAAGAGGAGCCUGCGGCGGAUUAGCUAGUUGGUAGGUAACGGCCUACCAAGGCGACGAUCCGUA
rnacentral:rRNA from 1 species